GUAAACGGUGUGAAGUCCUGUUCCGACCCGGAGUCGGCCUUCUAUUAAAACAGCAGAGACAGAGAAAGAGCUUUAUACUGUUACUAUUUACUGGUCUAAACUCGUCAUGAAGUCACUUGUACUCAGUCUGUUGUUGGUAUUUGUGUUGCUCAGUGUUACGUCUAACGCCAUCUCCUGGGGUAAAUAUCGCUGCGGCCCUACAUGUGCAAUUUAUUGUGCGUGCGGCCGUGUGAUGAAGAACGGUUGUCCGACGUGCACCUGCAAACCGUGUACAGUUCCUCGCUAUAAAAGAUGUCUGCCUGUAUGUAAAAUUGGUUGUCUGUGUGGAAAUGUCGUUGUAAACGGCUGUAAAAUCUGCAAGUGUAAACCGUGUAACAAGGGUUAAUUCAGAUGCAGACCACGUGACAAACUGAUGACGUCGAAAGAAUAACGACCGAGAUAAAAAAUAAAAAUAGAAAUAGAAA